rnacentral:rRNA from 1 species
GUUAGGAAUAUUGGACAAUGGGCGCAAGCCUGAUCCAGCCAUGCCGCGUGAGUGAUGAAGGCCUUCGGGUUGUAAAGCUCUUUAGUCCACGAAUAUAAUGACUGUAGUGGAAGAAUAAGCCCCGGCUAACUUCGUGCCAGCAGCUGCGGUAAUACGAAGGGGGCGAGCGUUAUUCGGAAUCACUGGGCGUAAAGCGUGCGGAGGCUGUGUGGUAAGUCAGAAGUGAAAGCCCAGAGCUUAGCCCUGGAAUUGCAUUUGAAACUACAAGACUCGAAUUCGGGAGAGGAUAGCGGAAUUGUCAGUGUAGCAGUGAAAUGCGUAGAUAUUGACAGGAACACCAGUGGCGCAAGCGGCUAUCUGGACCGAUAUUGACGCUGAGGCACGAAAGCGUGGGGAGCAAACAGGAUUAGAAACCCCUGUAGUCC